AAACCCUGUCUCGAAAAACCAAAAAAAAAAAAAAAAAAAAAAAAGGACAGGAAUGACCUUGAACUCACUAUAAUCCUCCUGCCUCAGUUUCUCAACUGCUGGGAUUACAGAAGUACAGAAGUGCACCACCACAAUAAUCAUUUUUUUUUUCCUUUUUCUGGAGACAAGGACUGUAGAUGACCCUGAACUUCUGAUUCCUUACUUCCAGCUCCCCAGUACUUAGCACACGCAGGGGAUCCCAGGGCUGUGUGCAUGCCCGCUGUGUGCAAACGCUCUACCCACUGAUCACAUUGCUAGCCCUCCUGUAGCCAUUUGUCACUUUGCAGCUGAGGAAUAAUUGGGGACGAAUGGACAGGCUGACAGAAGGCAGAGGACUGAAUGGCCUCAGUCCUAGGCCUGGACAGCUGACCAGGUCAGGAAGGAAGCCGGAAGCCCGAGCAACCAUGUGUCCAGGUCCAGCUCUGGCCUCUGCCUGCCCACACAUCCUCAGGGCUGAGCUGGUCACUGGGGCUGAUUGAAAAGGCAAGAUGAUCCUGGGAAGCCUUUAAAGUGUGGGAAGCAAGCAGAUGACAUAGCUCCACUCGGUGCUGUCCUGGAUGGCCCCUUAGUUGUCAGCUUCUAACCCUGGCCUCCCGAAUGCUCCCUGAAAGCACCAAACACAUUCCAGCCCCAGGGCCUUUGCACUUGCUGUUUUUGUUGGCUGGAAGCUUUUCCUGUCCCUCGGGUGUCUACAGGGCUCCCUCCUCCUCCCCACUCCCUUCAGGAUUCUGCUCAAUGGUCGACUUGAGCCCCUUUCACUCACCAUGAGAGGCACCUGCCCCUCCUCCUUCAAUUCUCACCACUCUGUACGAGGCUGCCUGCCCUGAGUCCAGGGCUCUUCUGCCCUUUCUGCCCAGCUCUCGUCUCCCUGGCAGGUCAGAGGUGGUUUCCGGUCUGGACGUGAAGAGGCAGUGAUUGUCUCCGAUGAGGGCAAGUCCUGGGCAGAGCCUGACCACUGUGCAUUCUCAGAACCAUCCAGGCAGACUAAUGAGAAGCUAGAGAAGCUGGAAGCAAAUGAACGGACUAGGAAGGUUACACUUUAAAAGCCAGGUGAUGAGGACACAGGACACGGCUCUGCGACAACAGUAAGCCAGCCCCUUCAGGAUGGUCCAGAGACUACAGGUGGAAAGGGACUGAGUGGUCAAAUUCUGGGUCUGACUCAAACAUGCAUUGAUUGACCAGUGGGCAAGCCAAGUGUGGUUUAUCUGUAAGAUGACACAUUCAUCGAUUAAAAACAGCUGAGCUACUCGCACAUGGAAAGAAGCGCUCAUUCGCCCGGAG
rnacentral:lncRNA from 1 species